AAGCAUGCAAGUCGAACGGGAACCUUGUCUUCGGACGAGGGGAUAGUGGCGAACGGGUGAGUAACACGUAGGUGAUCUGUCCUUGGAGUGGGGAUAGCCCAUGGAAACAUGGGGUAAUACCGCAUGAGGUCUUGGAACUAUGGUUCUUAGAUGAAAGGAGCAAAUGUUCCGCUUUGGGAUGAGCCUGCGGUCCAUUAGCUAGUUGGUAGGGUAAAGGCCUACCAAGGCUACGAUGGAUAGCCGGCCUGAGAGGGUGAACGGUCACACUGGGACUGAGACACGGCCCAGACUCCUACGGGAGGCAGCAGCUAAGAAUCUUCCGCAAUGGGGGAAACCCUGACGGAGCGACGCCGCGUGGACGAUGAAGGCCUAGAGGUUGUAAAGUCCUUUUGCAGACGAAGAAUAAGGCAAGGAGUGGAACGCCUUGCUGAUGACGUUAGUCUUGCGAAUAAGCCCCGGCCAAUUACGUGCCAGCAGCCGCGGUAACACGUAUGGGGCGAGCGUUGUUCGGAAUUAUUGGGCGUAAAGGGCGCGUAGGUUGCUAUAAGCUUGGUGUGAAAUCCCCCGGCCUAACUGGGGAAUAGCGCUGAGAACUGUAGUGCUUGAGUUCUGGAGAGGAAGCUGGAAUUCCUGGUGUAGGGGUGAAAUCUGUAGAUAUCAGGAAGAACACCGGUGGCGAAGGCGGGCUUCUGGCCAGAAACUGACGCUGAGGCGCGAAAGCGUGGGGAGCGAACAGGAUUAGAUACCCUGGUAGUCCACGCUGUAAACGAUGUGCACUGGGUGUCGGGGCUUUAAUGGGUCUCGGUGCCGUAGUUAACGCGAUAAGUGCACCGCCUGGGGAGUAUGCUCGCAAGGGUGAAACUCAAAGGAAUUGACGGGGGCCCGCACAAGCGGUGGAGCAUGUGGUUUAAUUCGACGAUACGCGAGGAACCUUACCAGGGCUUGACAUGUACCUGACGGUCUGUGAGAGCAGGCUUUCUCUUCUGGGACGGGUACACAGGUGCUGCAUGGUUGUCGUCAGCUCGUGUCGUGAGAUGUUGGGUUAAGUCCCGCAACGAGCGCAACCCCUACUGUCUGUUGCCAGCAUUAAGUUGGGGACUCGGACGGAACUGCCGGUGACAAACCGGAGGAAGGUGGGGAUGACGUCAAAUCAUCAUGGCCCUUAUGUCCUGGGCUACACACGUGCUACAAUGGCAGGUACAGCGCGCAGGAGCGAAACGGUGACGUGGAGCCAAUCGCUAAAAGCCUGCCUCAGUUCGGAUUGGAGUCUGAAACUCGACUCCAUGAAGGUGGAAUCGCUAGUAAUCGCGCAUCAGCAUGGCGCGGUGAAUACGUUCCCGGGCCUUGUACACU
rnacentral:rRNA from 1 species